UUCUUGGAGAGUUUGAUCCUGGCUCAGGACGAACGCUGGCGGCGUGCCUAAUACAUGCAAGUCGAGCGAAUCAA
rnacentral:rRNA from 1 species